rnacentral:rRNA from 1 species
AUGUGCUUUCUUGGUAUCCUAAAUAUAAGAUUAAUACUUCAAGUUGCUGAGUUGAGAAAGAGAUGGUUGAAUCAAAAGAAUUCCUUUUUUGAAGUUCAAUUUUUAUCAGAGGACAAUAUGAAUAUUAUACCUUGUUCCAUUAAAACACUCAAGGGGUUAUACGAUAUAUCGGGUGUAGAAGUAGGCCAACACUUCUAUUGGCAAAUAGGAGGUUUCCAGAUUCAUGCCCAAGUACUCAUCACUUCUUGGGUCGUAAUUACUAUCUUGCUAGGUUCAGUUGUCAUAGCUGUUCGGAAUCCACAAACCAUCCCGACCGACGGUCAGAAUUUUUUUGAAUAUGUCCUUGAGUUUAUUCGAGACUUGAGCAAAACUUAG